GGUCUGUCCCUGAUGCUGCGCACAGAGCAGAAUGACUUCAUUCCCCUGCUGUCCACAGUGACUGGGGCCCGUGUAAUGGUGCACGGGCAGGAUGAACCUGCCUUUAUGGAUGAUGGUGGCUUUAACUUGCGGCCUGGCGUGGAGACCUCCAUCAGCAUGAGGAAGGAAGCCCUGGACAGACUUGGGGGUGAUUAUGGCGACUGCACCAAGAAUGGCAGUGAUGUCCCUGUCAAGAACCUUUACCCUUCAAAGUACACACAGCAGGUGUGUAUUCACUCCUGCUUCCAGGAGAGCAUGAUCAAGGAGUGUGGCUGUGCCUACAUCUUCUAUCCGCGGCCCCAGAACGUGGAGUACUGUGACUACAGAAAGCACAGUUCGUGGG
rnacentral:sRNA from 1 species